GACGUAGGGCGCGAGCGUUGUCCGGAUUUAUUGGGCGUAAAGAGCUCGUAGGCGGCUCAUUGCGUCAACCGUGAAAACCUGCCGCUCAACGGUAGGCUUGCGGUUGAUACGGGUGGGCUGGAGUUCGGUAGGGGAGACUGGAAUUCCUGGCGUAGCGGUGAAAUGCGCAGAUAUCAGGAGGAACACCGGUGGCGAAGGCGGGUCUCUGGGCCGAUACUGACGUGAGGAGCGAAAAGCGUGGGGGAGCGAACGGG
rnacentral:rRNA from 1 species